GAUGAAGAACGUAGCGAAAUGCGAUAACUAAUGUGAAUUGCAGAAUUCAGUGAAUCAUCGAGUCUUUGAACGCACAUUGCGCCCCCUGGUAUUCCGGGGGGCAUGCCUGUCCGAGCGUCAUUGCUGCCCUCAAGCACGGCUUGUGUGUUGGGCUCCGUCCCCCCGGGGACGGGCCCGAAAGGCAGCGGCGGCACCGAGUCCGGUCCUCGAGCGUAUGGGGCUUUGUCACCCGCUCUGUAGGCCCGGCCGGCGCCAGCCGACAACCCAUCAUCCUUUUCAGGUUGACCUCGGAUCAGGUAGGGAUACCCGCUGAACUUAAGCAUAACAAUAAGCGGAGGA
rnacentral:misc_RNA from 1 species